rnacentral:rRNA from 1 species
UACGGGGGGGGCAAGCGUUGUUCGGAAUUACUGGGCGUAAAGGGCUCGUAGGCGGCCAACUAAGUCGGACGUGAAAUCCCCAGGCUCAACCUGGGAACUGCGUCCGAUACUGGAUGGCUUGAAUCCGGGAGAGGGAUGCAGAAUUCCAGGUGUAGCGGUGAAAUGCGUAGAUAUCUGGAGGAAUACCGGUGGCGAAGGCGGCAUCCUGGACCGGCAUUGACGCUGAGGCGCGAAAGCUAGGGGAGCGAACAGG